GCUUUCGUGGCGCAAUUGGUUAGCGCGUUCGACUGUUACACAAGAUAGCAAUCGAGAGGUUGGCAGUUCAAGCCUGCCCGAGAGCG